rnacentral:lncRNA from 12 species
UGCGCCACGCAGGAGUCACAUUCAACUGCUCUUCUAAAAUUGUGGGGCCUGGAAGCUUGGUAGUGUG